UUGACGCGCAUGAAUGGAUUAACGAGAUUCCCACUGUCCCUAUCUACUAUCUAGCGAAACCACAGCCAAGGGAACGGGCUUGGCACAAUUAGCGGGGAAAGAAGAGCCUGUUGAGCUUGACUCUAGUCUGACUUUGUGAGGAGACAUGAGAGGUGUAGCAUAAGUGGGAGAUAAGUCUUUUGGGGCCCGGCGACCAUGAAAUACCACCACCGUCCUUGGUUCCUUGCUUAAUCAGUAAAACGGGAACAAAUUUUGGUUCUAAGCACGUGCCGGCAUGCGUGGUUUCGCUGCGUGUGUCGGUAUCUUGGUCAUGUCUUGAGACCUGGGAUUCGUCUCGGUGUUCUCUUGACGGUGAUGUGCGACCCGUUCUGAAGACAAUGUCAGGCGGGGAGUUUGACUGGGGCGGUACAUCUGUCAAAUGGUAACGCAGGUGUCCCAAGGUGAGCUCAGCCAGGACGGAAACCUGGCGUAGAGUAAAAGGGCAAAAGCUCACUUGAUUUUGAUUUUCAGUACGAAUACAGACCGUGAAAGCGUGGCCUAUCGAUCCUUUUGAUUUUGAUAUUCGGAGUUUGAAGCAAGAGGUGUCAGAAAAGUUACCACAGGGAUAACUCGCAUGUGGCGGCCAAGCGCACAUAGCGACGUCG
rnacentral:rRNA from 1 species